rnacentral:rRNA from 1 species
AUUGAACGCUGGCGGCAGGCCUAACACAUGCAAGUCGCGCGAGCGGCGGACGGUUGUGUAUUGUAUGGGGACUGUCCGAUAGAGGGGGAUAACUCCUGGAAACGGUAGCCCAUACCGCAUACUAUUGGCUAACCCAUCUGGGUGUAGCUAGUAGGUGAGGUAAUGGCUCACCUAGGCGACGAUGCUUAGCUGGUCUGAGAGGAUGAUCAGGCACACUGGGACGGAGAGAUGGCCCAGAGGCCUCCGGAGUCAGCAGUGGGGAUGAUUGAACAAUGGGGGCAAGCCGAAUGCAACCAUGCAGUGUGUAUGAAGAAGUCCCUAGGGUUGUAGAGUACUUCCAGUCGGGAGGCGUUACCGUCAGAAGAAGCACGGGGUAGCUCCGUGGCAGCAGGCGCGGUAAGUC